rnacentral:rRNA from 1 species
CCCCGGAGUCUGGGAUAGCUGACCGAAAGGUCAGGUAAUACCGGAUGACAUCCCCUUAUCGCAUGAUGAGGGUCUCAAAGGAGCAAUCCGCUCUGGGAGCAGGCGAUAUCGUAUCAGGUAGUUGGUGAGGUAACGGCUCACCAAGCCGACGACGCGUAGCUGGUCUGAGAGGAUGAUCAGCCACACUGGGACUGAGACACGACCCAG